rnacentral:lncRNA from 1 species
GUCGCUCCCCGCCGGCUGCCGUUAGGGCUGGGAGCCGGCUGGGCGCGGGGGUAGUGAGGGUGCCUCUCGCCGUGGCUGCGCGGCGGCCUCGUCCGAGAGGCCGGCGCCGGGGCAGUGACCGGCCCGUGCCCAGCCGCCGCGCAGGGCGCCCGGGGCAGCUGGCCGAGCCCUCGAUGCCUCCCGUCUGACGGAGGCGCCCGGGAAGCGCCGCCCACCUCGGCCCCGCACCCUCGCCGGCCUGCCGGGUCUCCGCCAGCCCUAGCAGACAGAGAGGGGCGCCGGUCCCUAGUCCCCCAGACCUCCAUUCAAGGUCAAAACUUUGCCCAGCUCAGCCUUGCUCGACCCUGGGCAGGGAAGCGCGGACAUCGGCAGAGGGAGCCCGAGGCUCUCCGUGCCCUUCGCGCCGGUCAAGAACUGUGGAAUCUUUCAGAUGAUAUUCUGAUACUUCUGGACCAAGAUUGAAUUUGUUCUUCAUGAAAAAUGUCUGGGACCUUUUAUAUGGACGGGGAAUACCAACGUAGAGAUGGUCAAGAAAAUUUGCGCUCCGACCUAAACCAAGCACGUUGUAUGGUAGUUGGAGAGCUAAAUGUGCGGAUUGGCUGAGUUGGCCAGCUAGAGUUAUUCAAUUAAAAAAAAAUUAAAAACAUCUCUGGAAACAUUGCUCCCAUCAAAUAUUAAAAUGAUAAAAUGUUAAA